GGGCCCGCACAAGCGGUGGAGUAUGUGGUUUAAUUCGACGCAACGCGAAGAACCUUACCUGGGCUCGAACGGCUAGUGACAGGCGGCGAAAGUCGCUUUUCCCGCAAGGGACAUUAGUCGAGGUGCUGCAUGGCUGUCGUCAGCUCGUGUCGUGAGAUGUUGGGUUAAGUCCCGCAACGAGCGCAACCCUUGCCUUUAGUUGCCACCAGGUUAAGCUGAGCACUCUAAAGGGACUGCCGGUGAAAAACCGGAGGAAGGUGGGGAUGACGUCAAGUCCUCAUGGCCUUUAUGUCCAGGGCUACACACGUACUACAAUGGGCGGCACAAUGAGUCGCAAACCCGCGAGGGGGAGCCAAUCUCAAAAAACCGCUCUCAGUUCGGAUUGCAGUCUGCAACUCGACUGCAUGAAGCUGGAAUCGCUAGUAAUCGCUGAUCAGCAAGCAGCGGUGAAUACGUUCCCGGGCCUU
rnacentral:rRNA from 1 species